AACGUAGGAGACGAACGUUGUUCGGAAUUACUGGGCGUAAAGGGCUCGUAGGCGGCCAACUAAGUCAGACGUGAAAUCCCCAGGCUCAACCUGGGAACUGCGUCUGAUACUGGAUGGCUUGAAUUCGGGAGAGGGAUGCAGAAUUCCAGGUGUAGCGGUGAAAUGCGUAGAUAUCUGGAGGAAUACCGGUGGCGAAGGCGGCAUCCUGGACCGACAUUGACGCUGAUGAGCGAAAGCUAGGGGAGCAAACGGG
rnacentral:rRNA from 1 species